GAGAGAGAGAGAGAGAGAGAGAGAGAGAGAGAGAGAGAGAGCUUAUUCCAGUAGGUUGCCCCCAGGGCAAGGAGAAAUAUAUAUUAUGUAAGGGCUAAAUUGAAAUUAAAGUUCCAGGUUGGCUUAAGGGAGGAGGAAAGUGGGCGUAACAGAGCAAGGUGGGGAGAUAAGAGGGUUGGGAACAUAGACAGACAGAAUUUGAUUGGACGAGCACACUCAUUAGGCAGAUACAAAUGGCCCCUGGAGCAGCUCCAUCCACAUUGUUCAUCCUUCUCCAGGGAGCAUGUGGCAAACCUGUCAGGCAGACACAGGAACAGGGGCUUUUGCUAAAACUUCACAAGAUGCAGCCAAUGAUGGAGACAUAAUGUCUCAUUCCAAGGAGUCAGAUGAAGUUGCACCAUUGGCCAAGAGGAAGAGGUAGUUAUAGCUGAAACCGAGCAUACUGGCCCUGUGUAUUGCGCACUCCACAUGCAGCUAUGAAAAGAAGGAGGCUCAGCGUGGUUAUGUAAUGUGCCCAAGGUCCCUCAGUUGACAAGCACUGAGGGACACUGGGUUUCAUCCGACUGCUCCCAAAAUUUGUUUUUUCUGCUGCUCCGUAUUUCCUCCCCUAGGGAGAUGGCAACUCUUCUAGAAUUUCUCUAUUAAAGGGAGGUGCUAGUGGAUAGUACAAAUGUUUUCCUGUGGAUACCAAAAGAAUGCUGUUUGUCUACUGCUGCCAAGGUCUUGUUUACUUAACUUUUCAAAUCCGAGCAAAAAAACAAAGAAAAAAGAGUAUGUUUUGCAAGUGGUUAUGAGAAUUCAAACCCUUACCUUAGUUCAAGUC